AACGCACCUUGCACCCUUUGGUAUUCCGAAGGGUAUGCCUGUUUGAGUGUCAUUAUAUUCUCAACCAUUGAACUUGUUUUCUUUGGCUUGGAUGUGGGGGUUGCGGGCUUCGUAAGAGGUCGGCUCUCCUUAAAUGCAUUAGUGGAAACCGCUUGCAGGAUUCAUUCACUUUUUGGCGUGAUAGUAUCGUCGUCAAAGGGUUUAUGUCUCCGAGGUGUCUGCUCUCUAACCGUCCGUAAAGGACUCUUAAUGACUUGUUUGACCUCAAAUCAGGUAGGACUACCCGCUGAACUUAA
rnacentral:misc_RNA from 4 species